GGCGAGUAUAGCCAAGUGGUAAGGCAGAGGUCUGCAAAAACCUUCAUCACCGGUUCAAAAUCCGGUUACCGCCU
rnacentral:tRNA from 1 species